rnacentral:rRNA from 1 species
UACGAAGGGGGCUAGCGUUGCUCGGAAUCACUGGGCGUAAAGGGUGCGUAGGCGGGUCUUUAAGUCAGGGGUGAAAUCCUGGAGCUCAACUCCAGAACUGCCUUUGAUACUGAGGAUCUUGAGUUCGGGAGAGGUGAGUGGAACUGCGAGUGUAGAGGUGAAAUUCGUAGAUAUUCGCAAGAACACCAGUGGCGAAGGCGGCUAUCUGGGCUGCAACUGACGCUGAGGCGCGAAGGCUAGGGUAGCAAACAGG